rnacentral:rRNA from 1 species
CUACGGGUGGCAGCAGUGAGGAAUCUUGCGCAAUGGGGGAAACCCUGACGCAGCGACGCCGCGUGGGUGAUGAAGGCCUUUGGGUCGCAAAGCCCUGUCGAGAGGGAAGAAUUGCAUUUAGGUUAAUAGCCUAAUUGUUUGACGGUACCUCCAAAGGAAGCACCGGCUACCUCCGUGCCAGCAGCCGCGGUAAUACGGAGGGUGCAAGCGUUGUUCGGAAUCACUGGGCGUAAAGGGCGUGUAGGCGGCUGAGUAAGUCAGGUGUGAAAUCCCUCGGCUCAACCGAGGAAGUGCAUUUGAUACUGCUCAUCUUGAGUACUGGAGAGGGAGAUGGAAUUCCCGGUGUAGAGGUGAAAUUCGUAGAUAUCGGGAGGAACACCAGUGGCGAAGGCGAUCUCCUGGACAGAUACUGGCGCUAAGGCGCGAAAGCGUGGGGAGCGAACAGGAUUAGAUACCCCUGUAGUC